UCGCGGUGGCGGAGCGUCGUUUGCGACGCCCAACACACAAAACAAGCGGUGAGUGCUUUGGGGUGGGGUGACUGCGUACCUUUUGUAUAAUGGGUCAGCGACUUAUAUUCUGUAGCAAGGUUAACCGAAUAGGGGAGCCGGAGGGAAACCGAGUCUUAAUUGGGCGUUAAGUUGCAGGGUAUAGACCCGAAACCCGGUGAUCUAGCCAUGGGCAGGUUGAAGGUUGGGUAACACUAACUGGAGGACCGAACCGACUAAUGUUGAAAAAUUAGCGGAUGACCUGUGGCUGGGGGUGAAAGGCCAAUCAAACCGGGAGAUAGCUGGUUCUCCCCGAAAGCUAUUUAGGUAGCGCCUCGUGAAUUCAUCUCCGGGGGUAGAGCACUGUUUCGGCUAGGGGGCCAUCCCGGCUUACCAACCCGAUGCAAACUGCGAAUACCGGAGAAUGUUAUCACGGGAGACACACGGCGGGUGCUAACGUCCGUCGUGAAGAGGGAAACAACCCAGACCGCCAGCUAAGGUCCCAAAGUCAUGGUUAAGUGGGAAACGAUGUGGGAAGGCCCAGACAGCCAGGAUGUUGGCUUAGAAGCAGCCAUCAUUUAAAGAAAGCGUAAUAGCUCACUGGUCGAGUCGGCCUGCGCGGAAGAUGUAACGGGGCUAAACCAUGCACCGAAGCUGCGGCAGCGACGCUGAUGCGUUGUUGGGUAGGGGAGCGUUCUGUAAGCCUGUGAAGGUGGCCUGUGAGGGUUGCUGGAGGUAUCAGAAGUGCGAAUGCUGACAUAAGUAACGAUAAAGCGGGUGAAAAGCCCGCUCGCCGGAAGACCAAGGGUUCCUGUCCAACGUUAAUCGGGGCAGG
rnacentral:rRNA from 1 species